rnacentral:rRNA from 1 species
UACGUAGGGGGCAAGCGUUGUCCGGAAUCAUUGGGCGUAAAGAGCGUGUAGGCGGCCUGAUAAGUCGGCUGUGAAAGUCAAGGGCUCAACCCUUGAAUGCCGGCCGAUACUGUCAGGCUAGAGUCCGGAAGAGGCGAGUGGAAUUCCUGGUGUAGCGGUGAAAUGCGCAGAUAUCAGGAGGAACACCAAUGGCGAAGGCAGCUCGCUGGGACGGUACUGACGCUGAGGCACGAAAGCGUGGGGAGCAAACAGG